rnacentral:rRNA from 1 species
UACGAGGGGGGCUAGCGUUGUUCGGAAUUACUGGGCGUAAAGCGCACGUAGGCGGACUAUUAAGUCAGGGGUGAAAUCCCGGGGCUCAACCCCGGAACUGCCUUUGAUACUGGUAGUCUCGAGUCCGGAAGAGGUGAGUGGAAUUCCCGGUGUAGCGGUGAAAUGCGCAGAUAUCGGGAGGAACACCAAUGGCGAAGGCAGCUCGCUGGGACGGUACUGACGCUGAGACGCGAAAGCGUGGGGAGCAAACAGG